AUGGUCUCAGAGCUAAAUAUAUUCUCAAAUAUCAAAUAUGCAUCCAACAUGUACAUUUUCCAGGAACUGCAACUCCACAUUUCAAAAAGUCACAUUUGCGAAGAGAUGGUCAUGUCACUGAAGGAGAAGAAUCUGAUGAGAUCGCGCUCCAAGCCGACUUACAGGUGCAUCUCAAUAAAUUAGAAUGUCGUGGAAAAUGUAAUUUAUUUCAGUAAUUCAACUAAAAUUGUGAAACUUGUAUUUAAAUUAAUUCAAUUCUGAAUAGUUUAAGUAUUUGGUUCUUUUAAUUAUGAUGAUUUUGGCUAACAUUUAACAAAUACCCACCAAUUCACUAUCUCAAAAAAUUUGAAUAUGGUGAAAUUGACUCUCAGUUUGGUUCACUAGUCUACACAAUCAGAGGAAGACUGCUGAUCUGACAGUUGUCCAGAAGACAAUCAUUGACACUCUUCACCAUGAGAGUUAGCCACAAACAUUCAUUGCCAAAGAAGCUGGCUGUUCACAGAGUGUUGUAUCCAACCAUGUUAACAGAAAGUUGAGUGGAAGGAAAAAGUGUAGAAGAAAAAGAUGCACAACCAACCGAGAGAACCGCCUUAUGAGGACUGUCAACCAAAAUCGAUUCAAGAACUUGAGUGAACUUCACAAGGAAUGAACUGAGGCUGGGGUCAAAGCAUCAAGAGUCACUACACACAGACGUGUCAAAGAAUUUAACGAACCACGUAAAACGUCAGAGGAGUCUUACCUGGGCUUAGGAGAAGAAGAACUGGACUGUUGCCCAGAGGUCCAAAGUUCUCUUUUCAGAUGAGAGCAAGUUUUGUAUUUUAUUUGGAAACCAAGGUCCUAGAGUCUGGAGGAAGGAUGGAGAAGCUCAUAGCCCAAGUUGCUUGAAGUCCAGUGUUAAGUUUUCACAGUCUGUGAUGAUUUGGGGUGCAAUGUCAUCUGCUGGUGUUGGUCCAUUGAGUUUUUUGAAAACCAAAGUCCCCUUCACCCUUUUUCCAAGAAAGUUUGGGGCACUUCAUGCUUCCUUCUGCUGACCAGCUUUUUGAAGAUGUUGAUUUCAUUUUCCAGCAGGAUUUGGCACCUGCCCACACUGCCAAAAGCAACAAAAGUUGGUUAAAUGACCAUGGUGUUGGUGUGCUUGACUGACCAGCAAACUCAUUAGACCUGAACCCCAGAGAGAAUCUGUGAUGCCAAAAUCAACACAAUUAAAAGAACCAAAGACUACUUCUACAACUACUUCAGUCUGUGUGCACUUAAUUUAUUUAAUACACAAGUUUCACAAUUUGAGUUGAAUUACUGAAAUAAAUGAACUUUUCCAUGACAUUCUAAUCCAUUGAGAUGCAUGUGUAUAUAGCAGUCAACUCCACCCUCUCUUGCAGGCUCGAGCUUCACUGUUUUGUGCAGCUACACAAAUGUUAACCAAUCAGGCUUCAGUAAUAGAGUAAACAGGAGUUCCCCCAAGCAGUCUUUAAACGACGAUGCAACGAGAGUUACCUUUCGAUAGGGAAUGGCUAUCAUUAAGAAAUUUCAUUGCAUUUAAAGUUUCUGCUGUUCAAUUAACUAACCUAAAAUGUCCAUGACUUAAACCUUCUUACCCUAAAGAUAAGUUUAGGUUUGCAGUUCAAAAGCUCUGAUCCAGGAUUUGCAAUGUAUGUUAGAUGCCAACUCUGGACUCUACAUGUACACUUAAUGAUCAAAUGGUCUAAAGUGAAUUAGGUGUUCAUAUUAGGAUCCAAGUACUUAUUUUCUACUAGACAGGGUCUCAUAAAACUACAAUUCUUUUCCUUUUGUUUUCCUUCCCUCAGGCAGAAGCAUUUGAUCCUUGUUGUGCCUCUCUUGAUUCACUUAUGUCUUUUUGGUUACACAAAAUACCUUCAGAGGUUAUCCCAGGGGUAGAGUUUGAUGGGGAUUCAAAUUUUCUGGUCUCCUCCGGUCAGGAGGGGUGGUAUUCCUUCCUAAUGACUUAAACAGAUACAGAGUUCAACUUCUGUAAAAACAAUGGCUGAGCAUUUUAAUGGGAGCUGCUGAAUACAUAUAUUUCGCCUCAUCCUGAGCUUUGCUUUCCUAUUGGAUUUCUCCAUCUCAUGAGUCACAAGGUUGAAUUAUAUCAUCAGCCCUAUUUCUAGCGUUACAUCAUGAAUGUAUGAAUUUCUUUCUUCUGUUGAACACAAAAUAAUGUAUUUUGACGAAUGUUGGUAACCAAACCAACAUUGGUGGUAACCAAUUAAUUAAUUCACACAUAUAUACUGGUAUUUUGCAUUUUUAUAAAAAAAAAAAAAAGUUGAAUUGAAACAUUUACUAUGUUCCAACAGCAUCUCAUUCCCUUCUUUCAAAUCCUUAAUGUCUUGUUUAUAACCAGGUUUAAACUGAAUCCCAGCUCUUCAGUGUCACUCUUGAGCCCUACUGUACACUGAGGUAAUAUUUGUCUGCUAGCUUCACAGAGUCCAUAUUUUUGUGUCAUGCCAAAAGGAUGUGAUUAAUUAUCUGUCUCCUGGCGAGGAUGUUAGACAGGAGAGUUAAGGGCACUCAUGUCUAAUGCACUCUGACUGUACUGUCAAC
rnacentral:lncRNA from 1 species